rnacentral:rRNA from 1 species
CCUACGGGAGGCAGCAGUGGGGAAUAUUGCACAAUGGGGGAUAGCCUGAUCCAGCGAAGCAGCGUGAGUGAAGAAGGAACUAGGUAUGUUAAGCUCCAUCAGCAGGGAAGAAAAUGACGGUACCUGUGUAAGUAGCCACGGCUAACUACGUGCCAGCAGGCGCGGUAAUACGUAGGCGGCAAGCGUUAUCCGGAUUUACUGGGUGUAAAGGGAGCGUAGGCGGGAGUUCAAGUCUGGAGUGAAAGUCGGGGGCUCAACCGCCGGAUUGCAGUGGAAACCGUAAGGCUGGAGUGCAGGAGAGGUAAGCGGAAUUCGUGGUGUAGCGGUGAAAUGCUUAGAUAUUAGGAGGAACUCCGAUGGCGAAGGCAGCCUGCUGGACUGUAACUGACGCUGAGGCUCGAAAGUGUGGGGAUCAAACAGGAUUAGAUACCCGUGUAGUC